AUACGGAGAGUGCAAGCGUUACUCGGAAUCACUGGGCGUAAAGGACGCGUAGGCGGGUUGGUAAGUCAGGUGUGAAAUCCUACAGCUUAACUGUAGAACUGCACUUGAAACUACCAACCUAGAGUAUGGGAGGGGGAGAUGGAAUUAGUGGUGUAGGGGUAAAAUCCGUAGAUAUCACUAGGAAUACCGAAAGCGAAGGCGAUCUCCUGGAACAUAACUGACGCUAAGGCGUGAAAGCGUGGGGAGCAAACAGGAUUAGAAACCCGGGUAGUCC
rnacentral:rRNA from 1 species